AUUGAACGCUGGCGGCAGGCUUAACACAUGCAAGUCGAGCGGGGGAAGGUAGCUUGCUACCGGACCUAGCGGCGGACGGGUGAGUAAUGCUUAGGAAUCUGCCUAUUAGUGGGGGACAACAUCUCGAAAGGGAUGCUAAUACCGCAUACGUCCUACGGGAGAAAGCAGGGGAUCUUCGGACCUUGCGCUAAUAGAUGAGCCUAAGUCGGCUUAGCUAGUUGGUGGGGUAAAGGCCUACCAAGGCGACGAUCUGUAGCGGGUCUGAGAGGAUGAUCCGCCACACUGGGACUGAGACACGGCCCAGACUCCUACGGGAGGCAGCAGUGGGGAAUAUUGGACAAUGGGGGGAACCCUGAUCCAGCCAUGCCGCGUGUGUGAAGAAGGCCUUAUGGUUGUAAAGCACUUUAAGCGAGGAGGAGGCUACUCUAGUUAAUACCUAGGGAUAGUGGACGUUACACGCAGAAUAAGCACCGGCUAACUCUGUGCCAGCCGCCGCAGUAA
rnacentral:rRNA from 1 species